UACGUAGGGUGCAAGCGUUAAUCGGAAUUACUGGGCGUAAAGCGUGCGCAGGCGGUUUUGUAAGUCUGUCGUGAAAUCCCCGGGCUUAACCUGGGAAUUGCGCUUGAAACUAGCGGGCUUGAGUGUGGCAGAGGGGGGUGGAAUCCACGUGUAGCAGUGAAAUGCGUAGAGAUGUGGAGGAACACCGAUGGCGAAGGCAGCCCCCUGGGUCAACACUGACGCUCAUGCACGAAAGCGUGGGGAG
rnacentral:rRNA from 1 species